rnacentral:rRNA from 1 species
UACGGAGGGAGCUAGCGUUGUUCGGAAUUACUGGGCGUAAAGCGCACGUAGGCGGCUUUGUAAGUUAGAGGUGAAAGCCCGGGGCUCAACUCCGGAACUGCCUUUAAGACUGCAUCGCUUGAAUCCAGGAGAGGUGAGUGGAAUUCCGAGUGUAGAGGUGAAAUUCGUAGAUAUUAGGAAGAACACCGGUGGCGAAGGCGGCCCACUGGAUCGGUACUGACGCUGAGGUGCGAAAGCGUGGGGAGCAAACAGG